rnacentral:tRNA from 1 species
ACUAUUUUGGCAGAUUUUAUGCAAUAAAUUUAGAAUUUAUUUAUGUAAUAUUUUACAAAUAGUA